rnacentral:rRNA from 1 species
AACCAGACUCGCUCGCGGGGUUCAGCCGGGCUUCGGCCCGGUGUACUUCCCCGCGGGCGGGCCAGCGUCGGUUUGGGCGGCCGGUCAAAGGCCUCCGGAAUGUAGCGCCCUUCGGGGCGCCUUAUAGCCGGGGGUGCAAUGCGGCCAGCCUGGACCGAGGAACGCGCUUCGGCACGGACGCUGGCAUAAUGGUUGUAAACGACCCGUCUUGA